rnacentral:rRNA from 1 species
GGAAAAGCCCAAGAUUGAAAGCUGGCGUCAUUUUCUGGCGUUCCGCAUUGUAAUCUCAAGAAACGUUUAUCCGCUGCGGACCAGGUCGAAGUCUCCUGGAAAGGAGCAUCAUGGAGGGUGAGAAUCCCGUGUGUGACCUGGAGCCACCGCAGUACUGCGAUGCGUUUUUUCUCCGAGUCGAGUUGUUUGAGAAUGCAGCUCAAAAUGGGUGGUAAAUGCCAUCUAAGGCUAAAUACAGGGGAGAAACCGAUAGCGUACAAGUACCGUGAGGGAAAGAUGCAAAGAACUUUGGAAAGAGAGUUAAACAGUAUGUGAAAUUGCCAGAAGGGAAGGGUAGGAAGUCAGAGAUACGGGGAAGCAGGUUCAUCCGGAUGUUUGUAGUGGGCAGACGGAGCAGGCUUGUGUGAUCUGUAGGUCAACGUCGGUUCUCAUGUCGCGGGAAAGCCGGAGCUGGGGAACGUAGCAACUCUUCCGGGAGCUGUGAUUAUAGACCUGCUCGUGUGGACCGGUGACGGGAACCGUGGCUUAGCAGCAUGAUGCUUCGAAGCGGCUGUCCUCUCGGGGGCGGCGGUGGCUGUUGUGUUAGGUCUUCGGACUC